rnacentral:rRNA from 1 species
AUUGAACGCUGGCGGCGUGCUUAACACAUGCAAGUCGAGCGGUAACAGGCGUAGCAAUACGUGCUGACGAGCGGCGAACGGGUGAGUAAUGCUUCGGAAUCUUCCUUGUAGUGGGGAAUAACCUGGGGAAACUCAGGCUAAUGCCGCAUACGAACCAUGGUUGAAAGCGGGGGAUCGCAAGACCUCGCGCUAUAAGAUGAGCCGAAGUCGGAUUAGCUAGUUGGUGGGGUAAAGACCUACCAAGGCGACGAUCCGUAGCUGGUCUGAGAGGACGACCAGCCACACUGGGACUGAGACACGGCCCAGACUCCUACGGGAGGCAGCAGUGGGGAAUAUUGGACAAUGGGGGCAACCCUGAUCCAGCGACGCCGCGUGUGUGAAGAAGGCCUGCGGGUUGUAAAGCACUUUUAGUGGGGACAAAAAGCCGAGGGCUAAUACCUUUCGGUCUUGAUUUAACCCAAAGAAAGAGCACCGGCUAACUCUGUGCCAGCAGCCGCAGUAAUAC